GACCUGGUGGCACAGUGGUUAGUGUUUCCGCUACGAGUACAGACUCAUUUCUGGGAGUCCCUCGUUCGUUCGGAGUUAGGUCA